rnacentral:rRNA from 1 species
GACGAACGCUGGCGGCGUGCCUAAUACAUGCAAGUAGAACGCUGAAGGAGGAGCUUGCUUCUCCGGAUGAGUUGCGAACGGGUGAGUAACGCGUAGGUAACCUGCCUGGUAGCGGGGGAUAACUAUUGGAAACGAUAGCUAAUACCGCAUAACAGUAGAUAUCGCAUGAUAUCUGCUUGAAAGGUGCAAUUGCAUCACUACCAGAUGGACCUGCGUUGUAUUAGCUAGUUGGUGAGGUAACGGCUCACCAAGGCGACGAUACAUAGCCGACCUGAGAGGGGGGUCGGCCACACUGGGACUGAGACCCGGCCCAGGCUCCUACGGGGGGCAGCAGUAGGGAAUCUUCGGCAAUGGACGGAAGUCUGACCGAGCAACGCCGCGUGAGUGAAGAAGGUUUUCGGAUCGUAAAGCUCUGUUGUAAGAGAAGAACGAGUGUGAGAGUGGAAAGUUCACACUGUGACGGUAUCUUACCAGAAAGGGACGGCUAACUACGUG